UUAACUCAAAUUUGUAUGGAGUUGGAACGUUUGCCUAUGUUUGCCGCUAGUGGCGCUGUUCCAAUUGCAUACUAAUCUGAGUUA
rfam:Bombyx mori DNA, contig: Bm_scaf25_contig16539, strain: p50T/Dazao, build 2, whole genome shotgun sequence.